AUUGAACGCUGGCGGCAUGCCUAACACAUGCAAGUCGAACGCGUGGCGGACGGGUGAGUCAUGUCUGGGAAACUGCUUGAUGGAGGGGGAUAACUACUGGAAACGGUAGCUAAUCCCGCAUACCAUCGGAUGUGCCCAGAUGGGAUUAGCGAGUAGGUGGGGGAACGGCUCACCUAGGCGACGAUCCCUAGCUGGUCUGAGAGGAUGACCAGCCACACUGGAACUGAGACACGGUCCAGACUCCUACGGGAGGCAGCAGUGGGGAAUAUUGCACAAUGGGCGAAAGCCUGAUGCAGCCAUGCCGCGUGUAUGAAGAAGGCCUUCGGGUUGUAAAGUACUUUCAGCGGGGAGGCGUUACCCGCAGAAGAAGCACCGGCUAACUCCGUGCCAGCAGCCGCGGUAAUAC
rnacentral:rRNA from 1 species